GAUGAACGCUGGCGGCGUGCCUAAUACAUGCAAGUCGAGCGAACAGACGAGGAGCUUGCUCCUCUGACGUUAGCGGCGGACGGGUGAGUAACACGUGGAUAACCUACCUAUAAGACUGGGAUAACUUCGGGAAACCGGAGCUAAUACCGGAUAAUAUAUUGAACCGCAUGGUUCAAUAGUGAAAGACGGUUUUGCUGUCACUUAUAGAUGGAUCCGCGCCGCAUUAGCUAGUUGGUAAGGUAACGGCUUACCAAGGCGACGAUGCGUAGCCGACCUGAGAGGGUGGUCGGCCACCCUGGAACUGAGCCACGGUCCAGACUCCUACGGUAGGCAGCAGUAGGGAAUCUUCCGCAAUGGGCGAAAGCCUGACGGAGCAACGCCGCGUGAGUGAUGAAGGUCUUCGGAUCGUAAAACUCUGUUAUUAGGGAAGAACAAAUGUGUAAGUAACUAUGCACGUCUUGACGGUACCUAAUCAGAAAGCCACGGCUAACUACGUG
rnacentral:rRNA from 1 species